CCUACGGGAGGCAGCAGUGGGGAAUCUUCCACAAUGGGCGCAAGCCUGAUGCAGCAACACCGCGUGAGUGAAGAAGGGUUUCGGCUUGUAAAGCUCUGUUGUUGGGGGAGAAAGUGCGUGAGCGUAACCGCUCACGCAGUGACGUUAUCCAAAAGGAACGUCUCAGCUAACUACGUCCCAGCAGCCGCGGUAAUACGGAGGUGGCAAGCGUUAUCCGGAUUUAUUGGGCGUAAAGGGAGCGCAGGCGGUAGGUUAGGUCUGAUGUGAAAGCCUUCGGCUUAACCGAGGAAGUGCAGCGGAAACCGGGAGACUUGAGUGCAGUAGAGGACAGUGGAAUUCGAGGUGUAGCGGUGGAAUGCGUAGAUAUAUGGAAGAACACCGGUGGCGAAGGCGGCUCGCUGGACUGCAACUGACGCUGAGGCUCGAAAGCGUGGGUAGCGAACAGGAUUAGAUACCCUUGUAGUC
rnacentral:rRNA from 1 species